rnacentral:rRNA from 1 species
GAUGAACGCUGGCGGCGUGCCUAAUACAUGCAAGUCGAACGAGAGUAGCAAUACUCGAGUGGCGAACGGGUGAGUAACACGUAGGUAACCUGCCUUUUAGUUUGGGAUACCCAGAGGAAACUUUGGCUAAUACCGGAUACGAAUCCUGGAGGCAUCUCUAGGAUUUAAAAGGAGCUUCGGCUCCGCUUUAAGAUGGACCUGCGGCGCAUUAGCUAGUUGGUGAGAUAAUAGCCCACCAAGGCUUGGAUGCGUAGCCGAUCUGAGAGGAUGAACGGCCACAUUGGAACUGAGACACGGUCCAGACUCCUACGGGAGGCAGCAGUAAGGAAUUUUCGGCAAUGGGGGAAACCCUGACCGAGCAACGCCGCGUGAGUGAUGAAGGUCUUCGGAUUGUAAAGCUCUGUUGUCAGGGACGAACGGUAUUCCUAGGAAAUGAGGAGUAUUUGACAGUACCUGGCCAGAAAGCCACGGCUAACUACGUGCCAGCAGCCGCGGUAAACUGU